rnacentral:rRNA from 1 species
CACAUGCAAGUCGAACGGUAGCAGGAAGAAGCUUGCUUCUUUGCUGACGAGUGGCGGACGGGUGAGUAAUGCUUGGGAAUCUGGCUUAUGGAGGGGGAUAACUACGGGAAACUGUAGCUAAUACCGCGUAGUAUCGGGAGAUGAAAGACUGGGACCGCAAGGCCAGUUGCCAUAAGAUGAGCCCAAGUGGGAUUAGGUAGUUGGUGGGGUAAAG